GAUGAACGCUGGCGGCGUGCCUAAUACAUGCAAGCCGAGCGAAUGGAUUAAGAGCUUGCUCUUAUGAAGUUAGCGGCGGACGGGUGAGUAACACGUGGGUAACCUGCCCAUAAGACUGGGAUAACUCCGGGAAACCGGGGCUAAUACCGGAUAACAUUUUGAACCGCAUGGUUCGAAAUUGAAAGGCGGCCUCGGCUGUCACUUAUGGAUGGACCCGCGUCGCAUUAGCUAGUUGGUGAGGUAACGGCUCACCAAGGCAACGAUGCGUAGCCGACCUGAGAGGGUGAUCGGCCACACUGGGACUGAGACGCGGCCCAGACUCCUACGGGAGGCAGCAGUAGGGAAUCUUCCGCAAUGGACGAAAGUCUGACGGAGCAACGCCGCGUGAGUGAUGAAGGCUUUCGGGUCGUAAAACUCUGUUGUUAGGGAAGAACAAGUGCUAGUUGAAUAAGCUGGCACCUUGACGGUACCUAACCAGAAAGCCACGGCUAACUACGUGCCAGCCGCCGCGGUAA
rnacentral:rRNA from 1 species